GAUGAACGCUGGCGGCGUGCCUAAUACAUGCAAGUCGAGCGAACAGACGCGGAGCUUGCUCCUCUGACGUUAGCGGCGGACGGGUGAGUAACACGUGGAUAACCUACCUAUAAGACUGGGAUAACUUCGGGAAACCGGAGAUAAUACCGGAUAAUAUAUUGAACCGCAUGGUUCAAUAGUGAAAGACGGUUUUGGUGUCACUUAUAGAUGGAUCCGCGCCGCAUUAGCUAGUUGGUAAGGUAAAGGCUUACCAAGGCAACGAUGCGUAGCCGACCUGAGAGGGGGAUCGGCCACACUGGAACUGAGACACGGUCCAGACUCCUACGGGAGGCAGCAGUAGGGAAUCUUCCGCAAUGGGCGAAAGCCUUACGGAGCAAGGCCGCGUGAGUGAUGAAGGUCUUCGGAUCGUAAAACCCUGUUAUGAGGGAAGAACAAAUGUGUAAGUAACUAUGCACGUCUUGACGGUACCGAAUCAGAAAGCCACGGCUAACUACGUG
rnacentral:rRNA from 1 species